rnacentral:rRNA from 1 species
ACGGGAGGCAGCAGUGAGGAAUAUUGGUCAAUGGGCGGAAGCCUGAACCAGCCAAGUCGCGUGAAGGAUGAAGGUAUUCUGUAUUGUAAACUUCUUUAGCUGUGGAGCAAUAAUCUCCAUGUAUGGAGAGAUGAGAGUACACAGAGAAUAAGGAUCGGCUAACUCCGUGCCAGCAGCCGCGGUAAUACGGAGGAUCCGAGCGUUAUCCGGAUUUAUUGGGUUUAAAGGGUGCGCAGGCGGCUUUCUAAGUCAGUGGUCAAAUCGUGGUGCUCAACGCCAUCCCGCCAUUGAUACUGGAGAGCUUGAUUGCGGUCGAGGUUUGCGGAAUUCGUCGUGUAGCGGUGAAAUGCAUAGAUAUGACGAAGAGCACCGAUUGCGUAGGCAGCAGACCAGGCUGUAAAUGACGCUCAUGCACGAAAGUGCGGGGAUCGAGCAGGAUUAGAUACCCUGGUA